rnacentral:lncRNA from 1 species
AUCUAAGCAAGGAAGGGAAAGAUCUCUAUAAGAAGAAUUGUGGAAAACUAAAGACGGAUAUUAAAGAACUUACAAAAUAGAACUGUCAUUUUCUUGUACAUUGUCAAAAUGGCCAUAUUACCAAAAGUACUAUCCUAAUUAAAUUAAUUCCCCAUCAAAAUUUCAUUGACAUUCUUCACAGUACCAGAAAAACAAUUCUAAAAUAUCUUUGAAAGGAAAAGACUCAGAAUAGCCAAAGCAAUCCUGAACAAGAAGAACGAUGCUGUAGGAAUUACAAUCCCAGACCUCAAAUUAUAGUACAGAACUAUAGUGACCAAAACAGCACGGUAUUGGCACCAAAACAGACAUUAAAACCAAUGGAAUAGAAGACCCAGAAAUAGGCCCACAUGGAUAUAGUCAUCUGAUACAUGACAAAGGUGUCCAUACAUCAGAGAAAAGACACCUUUUUUAAAAAAAAUGGUGCUGGGAAAACUAGAUAUCCACAUGUAGAAGAAUGAAACUUGAUUUCUAUCUCUCAUUCUACAAAAAGUCAACUCAAAGUGGAUCAAAGACCUAGGAAUUAGAGCAGAAAUUCUACAACUGCUAGAAGAAAAUGAAGGCUCAACAUUCUAACCUAUUGGCACAGGAACUGACUUCCUUAACAAGACUCAAAGUGCAAGAACUAAAAUCAAGAAUCAAUCAGUGGGACACCAUAAAAUUAAAAACCUCUGCUCACCAAAGGAAACAAUUAAGACCAUG